rnacentral:rRNA from 1 species
GCGUGGGUGAAGAAGGUCUUCGGAUUGUAAAGCCCUUUCGGCGGGGACGAUGAUGACGGUACCCGCAGAAGAAGCCCCGGCUAACUUCGUGCCAGCAGCCGCGGUAAUACGAAGGGGGCUAGCGUUGCUCGGAAUUACUGGGCGUAAAGGGCGCGUAGGCGGUUCUGUUAGUCAGGCGUGAAAUUCCUGGGCUCAACCUGGGGACUGCGCUUGAUACGGCGGAACUUGAGGGCAGGAGAGGCUCGCGGAAUUCCCAGUGUAGAGGUGAAAUUCGU